rnacentral:sRNA from 1 species
GCAGAGUUAAGACAACCAUGGAUUGUGAAACUUUCCAAUAUGUGAAUUCUAUAGUCGGAUUCCUGUAUAUUUCUGGUGGGUUUUGCGGAAUGUAUAUUUCAAGCAUUAUAAACUGGAUAUAUUCAUUUAUUGAUCCAGAAGACACAUCCAUAGAACCUGUCAAUUCCGAUGGAACCAUUUUAUUUGAACAACCCAGAAGAGGAGAACUCUUUGAUCCUGGGAAAGUAUUCUAUCAAGUGGUAUUUUCUUCUUUCGGCAUACGUUUGAUCCUUUUCAUCAUGUCUUGGACAACAUAUAAUCAUUGCAAUAAAACCGAAAGAAUAAACGAAGUUAUCUUUUUCCUUCUCAUGGCUAUUUUUAUUGGAGGUUAUGCUUAUUUUAAUUACUUUGUAAAACAACUGAACAGCGUUUGCUAUCAUAUCGAAUCAGAUUCGUGGAAGAAAACAACACCGAAUUGUAAAUCAGUCAUUACAACGCUUAUGAUGGAAAACCCGUAUCUCGUCUUUACCAGCACCGACUACGAAUUUCUAGAUGUUAAUACUUUAUACGAUAAGAAAGUUACGGAGGAGCGUUUUAUAUACCGACGAUGUGAAGACGUCACCGACCCAAGCCAAUUAGAGCGACUUGAGAAGCAACUAAACACCGACAACCCUGUUCUCCUGACUAUAAGGUUUUCAAUUUUUUGUGGCGACACAGAAACAAAAUUGAAAUAUCUUAGUAAAUUAGAGAGCUUUGUUGGUCCACCUAGGCAGAUGCAUCCAUUGUGUCCUCGAGUCAUACGAGUCAAGAUCGACCCUUAUGAUCACGACACAGAAAUGCUCCUUUGGUGGGACACCGAGAGGGAUGUCCCGUGGUGGAUGAGCGAGAAAUGGUUUUGGGUGUUUACAGCCCUGUUAUUUGGAGCUCCUUAUAAAUUCUUCUUCGACGUGAAAACUCAGAGAGUUACAAUAGAUAUCAAAAAAGUCAUUUAUUGUUAAGAGUAUGUCUACGAGAAAACCAUGCAAAUAUGGAAAAAAGCUGUGGCAGCAAGUCUCAAGAAUGAAUAGAAUUUUAUCUUAGAUUUAAAGGAUACCCAUCUAGAGUCAGAUAUAUGAUGUUUGUUGUUGCACUGGAUGUUUCUAUUCAUAGUAAUGGCCAGUAUUGCAUUCUGGUUAAUUAGCCUCUAAAACCUAGAAAAAUUGUCAAAUUCAGUAAUUAAUUACAAAAUGUAUUAACAAUUUUUGAAAAAAAUAAAACUAUAUUCUUAAAGAGGAAGUUAACUCC